UACGGGGGGAGCAAGCGUUGUUCGGAUUUACUGGGCGUAAAGGGCGCGUAGGCGGUCAGCACAAGUCAGUUGUGAAAUCUCCGGGCUUAACCCGGAAAGGUCAACCGAUACUGCGGGGCUAGAGUGCAGAAGGGGCAACUGGAAUUCUCGGUGUAGCGGUGAAAUGCGUAGAUAUCGAGAGGAACACCUGCGGCGAAGGCGGGUUGCUGGGCUGACACUGACGCUGAUGUGCGAAAGCUAGGGGAGCGAACGGG
rnacentral:rRNA from 1 species